AUGGAAGACGCCAUCAUGGCAAACCAACAGCCCACGGUGGCCAUGAAGGGAACGCAUCAUGGUGGCCAACCAACACCCCAUGGUGGCCACGUAUGGAAGCCAUCACUUUGGCCAAACCACUGCCCCCAACCCGACCACCACCCCGGUAGCAAACCAACACCCCAAGGUUGCCACCAAUGGAAGAUGCCAUCAUGGCCAACCAGUGACCCCAUGGUGCCACCAAUGAAAGACGCCAUCAUGGCCAACUGACAACCCCAAGGUUGCCAUGAAAGGAACGUAUCAUGGUGGCCAACCAAUGACACAAGGUGGCCACCAAUGGAAGAGGUCA
rnacentral:lncRNA from 1 species